rnacentral:rRNA from 1 species
GAUGAACGCUAGCGGGAGGCCUAACACAUGCAAGCCGAGCGGUAUUGUUUCUUCGGAAAUGAGAGAGCGGCGUACGGGUGCGUAACACGUGUGCAACCUGCCUUUAUCUGGGGGAUAGCCUUUCGAAAGGAAGAUUAAUACUCCAUAAUAUAUUGAACGGCAUCGUUUAAUAUUGAAAGCUCCGGCGGAUAGAGAUGGGCACGCGCAAGAUUAGCUAGUUGGUGAGGUAGCGGCUCACCAAGGCGAUGAUCUUUAGGGGGCCUGAGAGGGUGAUCCCCCACACUGGUACUGAGACACGGACCAGACUCCUACGGGAGGCAGCAGUGAGGAAUAUUGGUCAAUGGGUGCAAGCCUGAACCAGCCAUCCCGCGUGAAGGACGACUGCCCUAUGGGUUGUAAACUUCUUUUGUAUAGGGAUAAACCUACCCUCGUGAGGGUAGCUGAAGGUACUAUACGAAUAAGCACCGGCUAACUCCG